GGCACUUGAGAUUCCAGGUACCAACUUGCUUUUCAGAUGACACGCAUCCUCGCGCUAGUCGUAGUAAUACAGACAAACAUGGCAUAGAUAAAAUUAACAUCACACCAAACAUAAUAACAAACUGAAUGAUAAUGAUCUACGCGCUGCUACGAGACUAACGCAACUUGAACGAGUCAAAUCGGAGUUAAAACGAAGGAGUUAUGAAUUUAUGAAGUUUUAAGUGUUGGAUAACAGAUUAAAUAGGAUAUUAAUUUUAAUAUGGCUUUCAUGUUAAAACAGUGCUACCAAGGGAUAAAAAUAAUUAAUACAAAAUUAUGGGAACUAGAAUGGGUUAAUUUGGACCACAUAUGAAUUUUCUAGGAAUAAAAUGAGUUUCUGGAAUUAUUUAUAUACUAGAAAUCAUUUUCUAUAAUUAUUUAUUUAUUUUCACUGCUCCCUGGAUCUCGCGCACAAAAACAGAGAACAGCAGGGUCUAACUCAUAAAAGUUCUUAAGACUCAGUGAACACCGCCAGAGGACGGCGGGUUGAUUUCUUAAAAAGUCGGGGUCUCUUUUACAAAAUCUGCUCAGCGAAGGGGUAGGUUCUAAUCUGGACCGUCCGAUCAAUAAUGUGUGGCGCAGAUUAGAUGUAACUCAAAUGAAACGGUAAGCGCUAUUAGCCGCGGGAUCCGAGAUCCACGGCCACGAUUUAAUGAAGCUAGAUCUAGUCUGAGCCGAGGGAUGGCAGAUCUACGGUGCCUGUUGAUCGCGCGAACGGGUAAGGGAAUACCUAAUCUCGAUCGCCCAUCAUCAGAUCAACGGCCAGUGGCCAUCAUCCACCUUCUGCACGCGGCCACGGCGGAUAGCGGCACCCAGUCACCGCGGCGCGCCCUGGCUAGUCUACUUCCCACCGACCUACGACGUGCGACUGAUCGAGACGCUAGGUGAUAAACAGAGCUAGGACGACGGUGAAGCCAGGCAGGAGGUCUGUACUCACGAUUGGUUCGGUGGCGAGUCUGCCCACGGAGCGGGGUGGCUUCACGGCGGAGGGUGACGGCCGGCGAGCAGUUCCCGCCGUUCUGGUGCCAGUCUCCACGGUCCGAGCGCGCGUACGGAUUCUCCGCGGUCUUCUCACCGGCGAGCGAUUCGUCGCCCCCCCCCCCGGUCACGCCUCGCAUGAGGUGGCCACUAGCACCAUGAGGGGAAUACGACGAAGCUCCUAGGCCAGCAGUUGGGGUAAGGCCGAUGAUUCAGCCUGGAGCUGGCCACGACGUUCUCUCACCCUCCCACUCAUUUCUCUGAUUCUCCUCCCUGAGCGGCGACAAGUCUUAGUGGCGCGACUGGUGGUGGCCAUGGACUAGCGGCCAGUGCCUUAGGUACUGUGUGGUGGAGACAAAGGAGAGCGCAGGACCUGGCCAGAAAGCACGCCGAGGUCAAAUCGACGGCGGCAUCUUGCUCAUGGCUCCAUGGGAGAGGGUGUCGGCCACAGGGCUGUGAGUGGCGGUAAGGGAGACGAGGGCUUCUAGAAGAUGGAGGCUGGGGAUUGGAGGUUCCUGCCUUUAUCGCCCCCUCCCAAACUCGGUUGGUUAGCGAGGACCUCGGACGAGCAGCAACGGC
rnacentral:lncRNA from 1 species